rnacentral:tRNA from 1 species
GUUGAAGAGUCUGAAGACUAGGUGGUAAAUUGUAAAUUUAUUUAUGGAUUAUUUUCCCUUCAAUA